rnacentral:rRNA from 1 species
AACGUAGGACGCGAGCGUUAUCCGGAGUUACUGGGCGUAAAGCGCGGGCAGGCGGUCUGACAAGUCUGAUGUGAAAUCUCCGGGCUUAACCCGGAACGGUCAGCCGAUACUGCAGGGCUAGAGUGCAGAAGGGGCAACCGGGAAUUCUCGGUGUAGCGGUGAAAUGCGUAGAUAUCGAGAGGAACACCUGCGGCGAAGGCGGGUUGCUGGGCUGACACUGACGCUGAGGCGCGAAAGCUAGGGGAGCGAACGGG